UGGUAGAAACAGGGGAGUCCCCAGGGACUGAGAGUGGAAUAGAAUUCCUGACCCAUAACCUGAUUUGGAUCAUGCCAACGUAGGGAAAUAGUUUUUCGCAUUCA
rnacentral:ncRNA from 2 species